GUAGGUGAACCUGCGGAAGGAUCAUUAACACGUGAUACUCACGUAUUAACUCACCGAGAACUGUUAUUUUCCCCUGUUGUAGAACAUCGGUGAUUUGGGAGCGGAAUGGUGCGAGGUACCGAAAGGUAUGCUCUUCAUCCCUUAUCUAGGAUAGUUCGACUAUCAGCCCAUGCCUACAAACAGAAGAUGAAUUGCGGCUGCCUAUUAAGCCUGCGCCUUGGCUUGCAGUCCGUGGUGACCUUAUUAACCC
rnacentral:misc_RNA from 1 species